rnacentral:rRNA from 1 species
AGAGUUUGAUCCUGGCUCAGAUUGAACGCUGGCGGCAGGCCUAACACAUGCAAGUCGAGCGGCAGCGGGCCUUCGGGUGCCGGCGAGCGGCGGACGGGUGAGUAAUACGUGGGAAUCUGCCUAUAGGUGGGGGAUAGCCCGGAGAAAUCCGGAUUAAUACCGCAUAAUACCUGAGGGUUAAAACGGAGGAUCGCAAGACUUCGUGCCUAUAGAUGAGCCCACGUCAGAUUAGCUAGUUGGUGGGGUAAAGGCCUACCAAGGCGACGAUCUGUAGCUGGCCUGAGAGGGUGGCCAGCCACACUGGAACUGAGACACGGUCCAGACUCCUACGGGAGGCAGCAGUGGGGAAUAUUGGACAAUGGGCGCAAGCCUGAUCCAGCCAUGCCGCGUGUGUGAAGAAGGCCUUCGGGUUGUAAAGCACUUUAAGUUGGGAGGAAGGUUGCUUGGCUA